GGUCCAUGGACAAUGUGUGCAUAGCUCACUCCAUCUCUCUUUCAUCUAAACAUCAUUUUACGUCAAUGCUCCCAGAUGGCAGGAAACUCCAGUUAUGUGCAAUGCUUAAAACCUAUGCAGUAUGAGGCCUUGGAUAGCCAGGUCUGGUCCACGGUUCAUGGAACGUCAGGAAAUUAAAGGAGGCCUGGUAGCAGUUUGAGGUUUAUGCUGCAUAUGUGGAAGAUGAUAUAGUUAUUUGCACAUCUUUCUUUCUUUUUUCGUUAGUGGUGGUGAGAGCUUGGUUUUAUCAUAGUUCUCACUUCCCAAGGGCAACAACGUAUAUACAUGAGCUCGCUCGUUCGAAGAAUGAGUGAUUAUAUACAUUUUUGUUUCUUGGGCCCAAAUAAGAAAGUAUCAUAGGCAUGUGAAAUGUGUAAUUGAUUAUACCUUUUGAGGUUAUUGCAAUACAAUAUCGUGCGAUGUUAGCCACACAA